GCAUUGGUGGUUCAGUGGUAGAAUUUUCGCCUCCCACGCGGGAGACCCGGGUUCGAUUCCCGGCCGGUGCA
rfam:Loxodonta africana unplaced genomic scaffold scaffold_209, whole genome shotgun sequence.